rnacentral:tRNA from 1 species
AAUAAUUUAGUUAAUUAUAACUUAUGUUUUGAAAACAUAAAUAAGAAGUAUAAUCUUCUAAUUAUAU